AUACUGUGAUGUUCGCAUAGUUCAGCAGAUUGAAUUCUGAAGAAGUGUUCAGAAGGGGAACAUAACUCCUGACCAUGUUUUG